rfam:Crassostrea gigas strain 05x7-T-G4-1.051#20 contig7819, whole genome shotgun sequence.
CGACAAUGAUGUGAGAAUUUCUUCACCUGAAGUUCCGUGUUGAACACAACUAUACGAGCUUUUUAAUUCUGAGUACU